CGCAGCUGCUGGAGGCUGCCGACUUCGCGGCUCGCAAGCACCGGCAGCAGCGGCGGAAGGACCCCGAAGGGACCCCCUACAUCAACCACCCCAUCGGUGGGCGCGUCGGCCGCGGAGCGCCGGCUGCGGCACCUGGGUGGUGGGGACUGGGAAGGAAACGUGGGGGGCGUGCACCUCAUUGAGCACCUGUUUUGUCCCAAGUUUAGUGCGAUAUACCGUUUAAGCCUCAUAACAAUUGGAACGGUAGGCAUGAUCGUUCCCUUUGUCGGUUGCCUCCCAGAGGGUAAGGUACUUGACCAAGGUCACCCAGCUAGUCAGAGUCCACAAGGGGCCACAUCUGGCUCUCCAAAACCCACAACACACCGCCUUGGGACUACCUCCGACCUGACUUCCUGCUUUGCCCCUCCCCGUCAGGUGUGGCACGGAUCCUGACCCACGAGGCGGGAAUCACUGACAUUGUGGUGUUACAGGUAACUUUCCCCCUUCUCCGCCAGGAGCCUGGGAUGGGGAUUAGGGGCCCCAUUCAGCAAUGGGCAACCCUUGGCUGACAUCUCAGGGCUGAGUGGGAACUUGUCCCCAGGCGGCCCUGCUCCAUGACACGGUGGAGGACACAGACACCACCCUGGAUGAGGUGGAGCUACACUUUGGGGCACAAGUGCGGCGCCUGGUGGAGGAGGUAACAGAUGACAAGACUCUGCCCAAGCUGGAGAGAAAGAGGCUGCAGGUGGAGCAAGCGCCCCACAGUAGCCCCGGGGCCAAACUGGUGAAGCUGGCAGACAAGCUGUACAAUCUGAGGGACCUGAAUCGCUGCACCCCAGAGGGAUGGUCAGAACAUCGAGUCCAGGAAUACUUCGAGUGGGCAGCGCAGGUGGUGAAGGGGCUUCAGGGAACAAACCGGCAACUGGAAGAGGCUCUAAAGCAUCUGUUCAAGGAGCGGGGGCUGACACUCUGAUCAGUGCUUGAAGCUAUCCAGAGGCACAACUCCAGCCUCGUUCAGGCCGGACAGGAUUCAUACGCCAUCUUUUCUGUGUCUCCUGAGCUCCCUCCAUCCUUCCCAGAUAUUAGAGGCCAAAAAA
rnacentral:sRNA from 1 species